rnacentral:rRNA from 1 species
UACAGAGGGGGCAAGCGUUGUUCGGAAUUACUGGGCGUAAAGGGCGCGUAGGCGGCCUACUAAGUCGGACGUGAAAUCCCUCGGCUCAACCGAGGAACUGCGUCCGAUACUGGCAGGCUGGAAUCCGGGAGAGGGAUGUGGAAUUCCAGGUGUAGCGGUGAAAUGCGUAGAUAUCUGGAGGAACACCGGUGGCGAAGGCGGCAUCCUGGACCGGUACUGACGCUGAGACGCGAAAGCGUGGGGAGCGAACAGG